rnacentral:rRNA from 1 species
GUAGUUUGAUCCUGGCUCAGAAUGAACGCUGGCGGCAUGCCUAACACAUGCAAGUCGAACGAGAUCUUCGGAUCUAGUGGCGCACGGGUGCGUAACGCGUGGGAAUCUGCCCUCAGGUUCGGAAUAACAGCGAGAAAUUGCUGCUAAUACCGGAUGAAGACUUCGGUCCAAAGAUUUAUCGCCUGAGGAUGAGCCCGCGUAGGAUUAGCUAGUUGGUGUGGUAAAGGCGCACCAAGGCGACGAUCCUUAGCUGGUCUGAGGGGAUGAUCAGCCACACUGGGACUGAGACACGGCCCAGACUCCUACGGGAGGCAGCAGUGGGGAAUAUUGGACAAUGGGGGAAACCCUGAUCCAGCAAUGCCGCGUGAGUGAUGAAGGCCUUAGGGUUGUAAAGCUCUUUUACCCGGGAUGAUAAUGACAGUACCGGGAGAAUAAGCCCCGGCUAACUCCGUG